CUAUUUCUUGGGCCGCUCCCGCGGCAUAUGGAGGUUCCCAGGCUAGGGGUCGAAUCGGAGCUGUAGCCACCGGCCUACACCAGAGCCACAGCAACGCGGGAUCCGAGCCGCAUCUGCAACCUACACCACAGCUCACGGCAUCGCCGGAUCAUUAACCCACUGAGCAAGGGCAGGGACCGAACCCGCAACCUCAUGGUUCCUAGUCGGAUUCGUUAACCACUGCGCCACGACGGGAACUCCUGUUUUCAAAAUUUUAAUACUUUAAGAACGCAACAUGAUUUAGGGGAAGGAACAGUUCUAAGAAUAAGAGAGCUCUGUUAUUAGUGAAUUUCAAUCUGCUUAUCUAAUUAAAUCAUCCUUGCCAGUCAAAUGAAUAUAAUAUUGACCUCAGAAUUUUGUGGUACAAAUGAUUAUAAAAUCAGAAAAUAGAUGCACAGUAAAUGUUUCAUCUUAUUCCUUUUUUCUACUUCAUCUAAAUUUCUGGAUGCUGGACAAAGAUCCAUUAUGAAAACAUGACAUUUUCAGGCAAUUGCAAUGUAAAAUAUCACCCCAAGGGUAGCUAAGUUAUCUUGAUUAGAAAGCAAUGCCCUUCACCAAGAACAGGAUAAUCAAGCAAUGAUCUUGCCAAAAAAACAUAAAUAUGAGCAUUGUUCAACUUGCCAAAAUAUUGCCCAAAUCCUCAUGUAAUAUUUGGCCCAGGAAUAUUCAUUCAGCCUCAGGAGAAUCCUGGAUGGUGUGUGUGUGUGUGUCUGUGUGUGUGUCUGUGUGUGUCUGUGUGUGUGUGUGUGUCUGUGUGUGUCUGUGUCAUUUGCAACCUUGUGCUCAAAUGUCAGAGGGCUCUGCAAGUACAAAAAAUACAGAGAAGAAAGGGGAACAGAAAAUGAUUUAAGAAACAGCAAAUAUUAGGAAAGAAAGUCUUCUAAGAUUUGAUUCUGGGAUAACACCCAUUUUCAGUUUGUUUAGCUGAAAUGACUGGCCCAAAAUUAUACAGUAAGCCAAUACAUGUAUCCCAGAUGCUUACAGUUGAAGGUCAAAACUGGAAGGAACCUUAGAGGUGAUCUGGUCCAAGCUCUCACUUUCUAAAUAAAGAGAGGCCUCAAAAGUGAUCAACUACACCUGAGGCAAGGAGUUGGGCAAACUCUGGGGCACAUACGUCCAAGGCCAGCUCCAGGGGUGUGUCGACAACAUGACAAAUUCAGUCAGUGAUUCAGCCUGUAACAGAGACUAGAAAGCCAUGAAUGCAAAGCUGAGGCAGCUUCCUAAAAGUGAAGGAGGGGCUGAUAACAGAUCACCUCAUCCUUGUGUGUGAGUGGGAGACUUUGUAGAAGGUUGCAAUGGUUUUUUUCCCUCAGAAUAAGAAUGGUCUGUAAUACUCUUGGUAGAAAACCAGCUUUAGAAACACAGAAUCCAGUGAUCCCAUUCCAAAACACUCAGAAGAGCAAGCAUAUAGAAAAAGAUGAAAAAGAAUGGUAGAACAUAAAAAGAAGGCUACAGACAUGCCUCUGGUCCACAGACCUUGUCUAUUUAUUGAGACAUACUAGUGAAUGUCCUUGACUUCACUUGAAUGUCCUGGGAAAAGCCAUCCCUCCACAAAGGGAUGAAUGGUGAAGACUUCUAUUGGAAUUUUAAACCACCCUUCCACUUUGUCUUGUUUUCUUCUUAGGCUACACCCAAGGCACGCGGCAAUCCCUCGGCUAGAGGUCAAAUUGGAGCUGCAAUUUGCACAGCAACACCAGAUUUGAGCCACAUCCAUGACCUAUGCCACUGAGUGAGGCCAGGGAUUGAACCUGCAUCCUCAUGGAUACUAACCUGGUGCUUAACUGGCUCAGCCACAUUGGGAAAUCCCAAAACCAUGUUUUUGUUGGUGCUCAACAUCUGGAAACUAAGAUUUGAAUAAAAGCUGCUUGCCUCUCUAUUCCCAGGGCUCCCUGCUGGGAGUAUUUCUGCUUCUGCUAGCAGAGGUUGACUCAGAAUGAAUUCACGCUAUGAAUUAGGCCGUCUCGCUUUCUCAUCCCACUUUAUUUAGUCUUUAACUCAUUGUCAGUCCUCUGGCCUGAAGUUCUAAGCAUAGGUGAUGAAAGUUUAUCAGAAAACUUUCCCUGGUGAACAUGGGGAGAGCUCCUGGCUGACUUUGUCUUGUGCCUCCUCUCUCACCAGCCUACAACCCACAUGCUUGUGUGACUGCCCUGGGUGCCCCCCUGUGGCUGCUCAGGGACUGGGGGCUCCUCAUGUCACUGAUUCCACCUCCUCCAUCAUGGCCCAGCACACGGCCAAUGUAAGACACAGAGCAGCACCCAAAAGUUUAAGGAACUCAAAGAAUGUGGACCAAUAGUUGUUUUCCAACUGAUGUUAUAAUGGUAUAAUGUUAUACCCACAUUAUAUAGAAUCAUCUUCUCCUCUAUGGGGCCCAAUGAACAGCAGGCAUAGUUUUCAUUGUCCUUUCUUUGUAUAAGCACUGACAUAGUGAAUUUUCAGUCACCUGGCAUUGCCAGGGAACGAGGCCUUCCAUAUCACUGAGUUUUCUAGAAUCCUAUAACCUGAACUGUCAAUAUUAACACCAAAUCAUCUACUUUCUACAGAUUUUUUUUGCAAAUAUAGUAUAUAAUUCUUUAACUUAUAAAAUGUAGUCUUUGAUGUCUGUCUUAGGAUUUAUGUCAGAGUCAUAAUUAUCACCCCUGCUGAUGGAGCUUUGUCAGUGGUACAGAGACUGCUGUGGUUGUGGAAGGUUUCCAUUCCUAGACAUAAUGGCCUAACGUUGCUAUGCUAUUUUUUUCUUUCACUUCCUUUCAAUAGAUUUUCUGAUUCCUGUGCUAGGCCUCUAAUGUGAAUUGGUUAACCAAACAUUUAAAUAUAUUAGAAUUACUUUAGGUACAAAGAGGCUUUGAUUAAGAGCCGGAUCUCAUGAGCUUUCAGGUUGACUAUUUUAAUGGUAUAGGGGAUUCUGAUAUCUACUUCUUGCUUCCUAACUAGAUAAUCCCAGUACAUAGUAACCUCUCCAAGAGUUACUGAAAAUGACAUUAAAAAUAAUAGUAGUGAUGAUGAACUGCCUUCCACUUUAAUCAUAUUAAAUAAUUUAUAAACUGGUAAACCAAUCCUUCUAGGUCCUUCUUCGGAAUAAUUUACUGACAAGUUAGCAACAUGAUCAGAACAUUUGGAAACUUUUUGUUAAAGUAAAAAAUUAUUUUAUGGCUGUGAUUUUCUUUUGGGAGCAAUUUCCAGACUUGGAAUAGCAGUCUGUAGGAAAUCAUCCAGUUUGUUUGUUUGUUUGUUUCCAUUUUCUUUCAGAGAAGUGUAUAAAGCAGGGUGGAUCGCAAGAAGCAGCCACUUCAAAAAUGUCUCCCAAAUAAGAAUGUGCUUUGGAAAAACAUGUUCUAUGGCUCUUACUUUUUACAUGUUUUGAAGUAAAGGCCGCAUGUACUAUUUGCAUUUACUCCAAAUAUGAAACAAGGCACUGGAGAAGGAAGUCAGGGGGUGGGGUGGUUCUGAAUGUCACCUUGCUGGGGAAAUAACCAGAUCCUUGUUCACACCCUGGCUGUGUACCAUGUAAAUUCUCCAACUGGAAGACAGUCACUUUGGCAUGCAUUUUAUCUGCUGUGCAGAUUACAUGUGGAACUUUCUUCAAGGGUCACUACCUAACUUAGAGGAUAAGAAGACAGGGCGGGGAUUACUGCUCAUUUGGGGAGAGCAGGGCUGAUGAGGAUUUUAUGUAGGAAGCUUUCAUCACAGAGCCUAAGGGCAGCAAGGGGCUUUGUUUCUAUUUAGAGAUGAGGAAACAGAGGCUCUUGGAUGAGAAGAAAUCACAUGUUAAAUGAGCAUAUAGAGUUGAGUCACUGGGUGUACUGGCUUUCUGGAGCUUUCAUGAUAAAGUUCUGCCAACUGGUGGCCUCAACAACAUAAAUGUAUUAUCUCGCUGUCCUGGAGGCUAGAUGUCUGAGAUGAAGAUGUCCAGAGGGCCAUGCUUCCUCUGAAGAUGCUAGAAAAGGAUCCAGUCCAAACUCUGCCUCUCUACAACCUCCUAGAAGUUUCUUGCAUGUGGCAACAUAACGACAACUUUCACAUGAUAUUCUCCCAGGGCCAUAUCUGUCUCUGCAUCAAAUUUCUUCCUGUUUAUAAAGGCACUGGCUAUACUGGAUUAGGAACCACCCCAAUAAACUCAAAACCACUUGAUUAUCUUUGUAAAGAUAUGCUCUCCAAAUAAAGUCCCAUUAUGAUCUACCAGGGGUGAGGACUCUAACCUGUCUUUUUUUUUUUUUUUUUUUUUUUUUGAAACUCAAUUAAACCCAUAACACCGAGUCUCUACCAAACACAGGUUCUCAACUCUAAGACUAGGGUUUGUUCUUCUAUUCCAUGCUGCUCCUAAUGUUCAGUGUCCUUUUCCAGAAGACAAGCCUCUGGUUGCAUCCUGAAGUCAAAUGUAAGUGACUCAGGGAUUAUUUCUUUUAACAUCAGCACUCCAUUAGUGCAGAUAAUUAAAAGUUGAUUGCAGAAGGCAUUAUUUUUCAUUUCUAAAAGCCAGCAUUAAGAUGGAAUAGCCAUUUUCCUAGAAGGAAUGGGGAAUAUCCAUCACUCUGACACUGAGGGGAAUUCCACCAAAAAAAGAAGGCAAAAGAAGAAAAGUACUUGAUCAAUGUGAUUCAUUAUUAUCAUCAACAGGGUCACUGCUGCUCUGCUUCAUUCAUUUAUUACUAUUUCACGCCCACAGAUAGAGGAUCCAACCCGGGCUGUGCUGUUUCAAAAAUGGUGCAUCAGCUGAGUGGGCCUAUCCUCCAAGGAAUAAGGUAAAGAACAAUGAAAACUCUUCAUGCUGAUAUUCAUUCAUUAUUCAGAAAGUAUUUAUUCAGAAUAUUGACAUAUUAAUCGACUUAUUUAUGUGCCAGGCACUAAUCUGCGUCCCUGAGAAACAUCAGGAAACUAAACAAAGGAAAAGUCCUACCCAUUAAGCUUAUAUACUUAUUAAAUAACUUCUAUGGCAUAUUUGAAGAUGGGACAGGGUAAGGGGGAUUAAAUGGUUUAGGGUAUGUGUAGGUGUGUAAGUGACCGCAAUUCAGGGGUAGAGGGGUCACCGCCAAGGAAGCAUUUGAGGAAGGCUUGAAGCAAGUGAGGAGGUGAGUCCUAGGGUACCUGGGGCGGGGCAAGAGGAAGAUUGUACCUAUGAGAGAUGAGAACCAAUGCAAAGAACUGGAAGUGGAAUCAGUUCUGGUGUGUUCCAGAAAUAGCGAGAAGACCAAAGUGGGUAGCAUUACCCCUGAUGACUAAGGCCUAACUAUAUUGUCUUCUGGAGCCAGGUUUGAUUAGGGUUGACAUCUUCAGCCUCUGGGAGCUUCCUUGUUGCCCUCCUGCCUCCAAGUCUCAGCUCUUUUAGACCUUCCUUGGCUCUUUCCUGGCUGCUGACCAACCUCAACCAAAGGGGCUGCAAAGCACAGAACAGUAAUGCUCUGUUCCAGGUGGCACAGCCUCCCUUCUGUCACCCCCACCACCUGCCCCACUAAAUAUACAUCCUAUUUACACAGAACAAAAUCGAUUUAUUCUUUUAAACUGGCUGAUCCAUGCAAUUGGAUCACAUUAUCAAAACCUGUAUUCUGCAAGGGAAUCCAAGUACAUUCUACUCAGUGGGGAAAAGGCAUAACAUCACAUGAGUCUAUGAUAACACUUCAUACUGAAGCGUUCUUACUAACACAAAAAAGGAUGGAUUUACUUCUAAGAAACUCAUUAUUGGGAGCAUUUUCCAUGGCCUCUCAUAUCUCUGUAUAUCUUAUAAACAAAUGAUCUGAGAACUUUGUUCCAGGAUGUUCAUAUAGUAAAAAAUCUGUUGGAAGCUAGAGAUAGUGUCUUUUUCUAGAGUAAAGGGAAAUGUAUUAACUGUCCAGUAAAAUAAAGAUUCUACCUUUCUCUGGACCAAAGGAUGAUCAGACCACUGUAAAAUCUGGGGUCUCCAAAACUCAGCCUUCUCCCCCA
rnacentral:lncRNA from 1 species